AGCAGUCGCCGCGGGAAUACAGAGGGUGCGAGCGUUAAUCGGAUUUACUGGGCGUAAAGCGUGCGUAGGCGGCUUUUUAAGUCGGAUGUGAAAUCCCUGAGCUUAACUUAGGAAUUGCAUUCGAUACUGGGAAGCUAGAGUAUGGGAGAGGAUGGUAGAAUUCCAGGUGUAGCGGUGAAAUGCGUAGAGAUCUGGAGGAAUACCGAUGGCGAAGGCAGCCAUCUGGCCUAAUACUGACGCUGAGGUACGAAAGCAUGGGGAGCAAACAGGAUUAGAUACCCCAGUAGUCCCUGGCUCUUAUAA
rnacentral:rRNA from 1 species